AACAGACACUUCCUGUACAGGGGAGGGGGGAGGGGGCCAGGCAGCCGUUAGACAGCACAACCGAACCCAACACCGGGGCCCAACGGCAGGGGCUUGGGCAGGAGCAAGGUCCGAGGGCUGCCAGGUCCACGCUGCUUUUAUGAGCUGUAACACUCACCGCGAAGAUCUGCAGCUUCACUCCUGAGCCCAGCGAGACCACGAGCCCACCGGGAGGAACAAACAACUCCAGACGCGCUGCCUUAAGAGCUGUAACACUUGCCGUGAAGGUCUGCAGCUUCACUCCUGAGCCAGCGAGACCACGAACCCACCAGAAGGAAGAAACUCCGAACACAUCUCAACAUCAGAACGGACAGACUCCAGACGCACCACCUUAAGAGCUGUAACACUCACCGCGAGGUUCCGCGGCUUCAUUCUUGAAGUUCGUGAGCCACACAUCUCCCCACACCAAGCUCCUCCAUACAAGACCUCGGACUGCAUCACGUAAAUGCUUUUUCAGGGGCAAAAUCUAGAGAAUCUGAAACGAGCUAUCAGCUUCCCAGUUUGCACAAUUCAUCAAGAAAUUAUGCGGGGUCACUGGCACAAAUGAUGAGGCAUCUCCUGGAAGCUUAACUUCUUAUCCAUCCCAUCUCUUGGACAGAUGAUGCCAGUUAAUUACUUUGAAUGCUCUGCUGCUAUGGUGAGCUGCACGUCUGGAGGCUUCACAGAGACACUGGGUGAAUCUAAAUGAUGAGUUUGAUGGUGACCUGGAGGUGAAACUGUGACUUCAUGAUGUUCUAGAGGCUGACCUGGGGUCUCCUGCUGGGUCAGAGAAGAUUCGACCUCCCCAGAAGACUCAGAAGGCUGAACUGGCUGCUGCUGCUCACUGAUGGAAAGUUCAUGCUCCAUAGGAGGAACUGGAGGCUCAAUUGGGGCCUCCUGUUGGGUUGCAGAAGGUUCCACCUCCUCUGGAAACUGAAUUGGGGUCUCCUGCUGGGUUUGGGAAGAUUCUGUCUCAUUGGUAGGCUCUGAAGUUAUGGUAACCUCCACAUCUGCAGGUUUAACUGUAAUGUUGGGCAAGUGAUAAUAAGCUUGAUCCUCACCUGGAGGUUGAACUGACACCUCAUGAUUCGGUAGAGUUAGACUCUCCAUAGAGGACUCUGGAGGCAGAGCUGGGGCCUCCUGCUGCAUUGAAGAAGGUUCUUCCUCAAGGAGCUGUGGAAGCUGUGCUGGGGCUUCUUGUUGGAGUGAAGAGGACUGGAUGUCUUCAAGGGUCUCUGGAUUUUGAGUUUCGGGCUCUAGAUGGAAUUGAGAAGGUCCAACUUGCUCAGAGGGCCCUGGAGGCUCAUCUGACUUCACCCGGAGUUCUGGAGGCAGGCUACCGGGAUACGGUGUAUCUGUACUGGAAUAUUCAUUCUGCAAAUUCUGUUUCUGACUAUGAGGUGUGGAUAAUUGGCGUAUAAUUCCAAUAAUCUCAGCAAGGCUCCAACGCUGAGCUGGAUCUUUCUUCAGCUUCUUGGGUGAAACAGGGAGCCUUUCCUGUGGACUCAGCUUGUCCUUUAAAUCCUGCUGUGAAGCCAAGAACUGCUCUGGCUCCAGGGGCAGCUCUCCAGCUGAAUCCCAGGUGUCCAGGAAUGGAACCAAAUUUUCAGUCGAUUCCUGGGGUGGGGCUGGCAUCUCUGAGGAAGCAGAGGGCCCCAGGUGAUCAAAGUCCCACGGGUCUGCUGGGAGAGUAGGCGCAUGGGGAGAUUCCCGUGGGAAAUGGGAGGAGUGGGAAGACCAGGGCUCAGGCGGCCCCAGGGGGUUAGAGGUCAGCUGGAGCGGGUCCUUGACCCACUCCAGAGGCUGAGCCUCCUUGACUAGUAGCCACAAUAGUUGCCACAUAAGGAGGGGCCAUGGGCCCCAGAAACGCAGCCGGGACAUGACACACGCUAGUGCCGGGCACUGAGCGGAAGUCAUUCUGGCAGCUCCGAGACACUCGUGCCCCUUGUAAGCGUGAGUCCCGCCCUGUCUUUAUGACACCUGUAUUUAUGCCACAGAUCUGCUCCAUGUCACCAGGGCACUCUUAUGUCACAAUCCCGCCCAAGCACGCCUUCCCAUCCUGCCCUGCCGGAACACCCCUCUCCUCCCCUUAGUGAGGAAGGAUUUGGGCCUCAGACCCUGGUGGUCCCAGGACUCCAGCGCCUGCUGUGGUGGGGUAGGGUGGGGUAGGGUGGGAUGGGGGCGCGGCAGAGCUUCCCAAGGAAGUCACCGGACCUCGCCUCAGGAUAUUCAGAAGUGCUAGUUCAGUUCUGGCAGCCUUCCUCCUUUAAGGUGAAAUCCGAGAACACUCUUCCUUCCAGGGAGAGCAACUGACCUGCAAAAUGGGCGCCAGGAUGCACAUUACAGUCAUUUAUUCCAAAGUGUUGCCAUUUUCGCUAAACUGUCGCAUGUUUGAUAAUUAAUUCACCACCCUAUUAGGUAGGGGCUGCCAGGGAAUAAGCGAGGACUCCAAAUUUUCUGUAGGAGGGGUGUUGGGAGUUGGCAAUUCGGUCUGGGAGAGAAGGUUUUAAUCCGAGUGAAGAGCCCUUUGCACUAGCCUGGGAGGAGGCUGAACUGUCAUCCUGCCUUGACUCAACACAGCCAUUCCCCUAGAAGUUACAGCACUUCUAGGGUCACCUGUGUUCAGAGAUCUACCCUGUGUGCACACAUGGAGAAGAGGCUUAGGUUGUUAAAGUCAGCAUGUUAAAUCAUUUCCUGAAAUGCGACUGUAACUAGAACCCAGCUGACUUCCCCCACAGCCGUUCUUACCUAUUUUAUUACUGUCUGGCAUAAUUACCAGCAUGUAAACUCCAAGAAGGUGCUUCAUCUUAUUCCAGUGCCUGGCAUAGGCAUAGGGUGCAUAGUGAUGGCUUUAAAAUUGAAGGGGGGCCGGGUGUGGUGGCUCACACCCAUAAUCCCAGAACUUUGGGAGGCCGAGGUGGGGGGAUCACUGAGGUCAGAAGUUCGAGACCAGCCUGACCA
ensembl:lncRNA novel transcript